UGUUUGUUUAGGGUCACUCAUCCAAUCACAUUUGUCAUCUUCUCAUUGAAGCAGAGGAGUAUCUUUCACAUUUCAAAGCCCUAAUAUUUACAUCAAUGGCAGCUCAGACAUUGCAGCUCCGACCACUGGGCAACACUGGACUCAAUCUCAGCUCUGUCGGCUUCGGCGCUUCUCCUCUCGGCAAGGUUUUCGGCGAUGUCUCCGAACAAGACGCCUUCGCCGCCGUCCGGGAAGCCUUUCGCCUCGGCGUCAAUUUCUUUGACACUUCCCCGUAUUAUGGAGGAACGUUAUCGGAAAAGGUACUAGGGAAAGCUUUGAAGGCUCUUGGAGUACCUAGAGAUCAGUACAUUGUGUCUACAAAAUGUGGGAGGUACAAAGAGGGAUUUGAUUUUAGUGCUGAGAGAGUGACUAAAAGUAUUAAUGAGAGCUUGGAGAGGCUGCAGCUUGAUUAUGUUGAUAUGUUACAAUGUCAUGAUAUUGAAUUUGGGUCCCUCGAUCAGAUUGUGAAUGAGACACUUCCCGCCCUUCUAAAAUUGAAGCAAGCUGGAAAGAUCCGCUUCAUUGGUAUAACCGGCCUACCUUUGGGGAUAUUCACUUAUGUGCUUGAUCGCGUCCCUCCAGGCACAGUUGACGUCAUCCUGUCAUAUUGUCACUACAGUGUCAACGAUUCAACUUUGGAGGAUCUGUUGCCAUACCUGAAGAGCAAGGGUGUGGGGGUGAUCAGUGCUUCUCCUCUUUCAAUGGGUCUUCUUACUGAGGCUGGUGGUCCAGAGUGGCACCCUGCUUCUUCUGAACUUAAGGCUGCCUGCCGAGCUGCUGCUGUUCACUGCAAAGGAAAGGGAAAGAAUAUCUCAAAAUUAGCCUUGCAGUACAGCUUAGCAAAUACCGAUAUUUCUUCCAUACUAGUGGGGAUGAAGUCUGUUAAAGAGACUACAAAUUGGAUAAAAUAGUUGGAUGAGGUAGAAAAUCAUGACCCUUUUGAACAGGACUCUAAGAUUGUGCAAGUGAAUAGGGACAAAAGAAUGAGCCUGCAGUCUGGUGUUUUUCCAAAUUCGGACAUCUGUUCUUUGUCAACUUUUCUGCCAAAGCAUGUGUGGUCAUACUUCCCUUUCUUGAUUCAACACCUAAAAACAGAAGCAUAGAUGAUGAUUGGUCACUCUCAGGACGAGCUAUACAUUAGAAGUGGAGGAAAAUAUAGCAGCUGCCCUAGAACUAGCAACGGCUGGAAUGGAUGAAGAAACAUUAUCAGAGAUCACAGACAUUCUGAAACCAGUGAAGAAUCAGACAUGGCCUAGCGGUAUCCAACAAAGUUGAUUUGUUUGACAGUUCAACGAG